UACGGAGGGGGCUAGCGUUGUUCGGAAUUACUGGGCGUAAAGCGCACGUAGGCGGCUUUGUAAGUUAGAGGUGAAAGCCCGGGGCUCAACUCCGGAAUUGCCUUUAAGACUGCAUCGCUAGAAUUGUGGAGAGGUAAGUGGAAUUCCGAGUGUAGAGGUGAAAUUCGUAGAUAUUCGGAAGAACACCAGUGGCGAAGGCGACUUACUGGACACAUAUUGACGCUGAGGUGGCGAA
rnacentral:rRNA from 1 species